GGCCCGGGCGCCAUCUUGAGGCGGGGGCGGCCCGGCCCGGCCCGGCUCGGCCCGUCUUGUCCUGUCCCGUCCCUCGCCCUCCUGCCCCUGCGGCCGCCGGUGGCGAAACGCGAGGUGAACCGCCGCCCGGCUUCGCCGCCGCACGGGGUGUGAGGAGGUGGUGGCUGGCCGGGCUUGCGAGGGCAGGGCCUGUGGGAGCCGGGGGUGUGUAGCUGAGGGGAGCGGCCCCCGCAGCAGCCGGCAGGGCUUCCCCACCUCCCUACAGGCUGCGUGGGCUCUUGCCAAGAGCUGCGUGGGAGCUGCUUGCUGGGUGUGCCCGCUGUCCCUGAGGAGGAGGAGGGAUGGAGACCUGCAGUCAGCUCACGCCUCCCGCCCUGUCAGUUCAGCCCUUUGGUCCCCAGCAUCGUCUGCUUGCUGGAACAGGCUCGGUCAGACGUUUGAGAGCCGCGUCUCGGGGCUUAGUCGUGGGCCUUAGUGAUCAUCCCGGUGGAGUCACCGAGUUCCUUCGAGGAGAGAACUCGCGGGACAGCCAGGCCCAGCAGCCUGGCAGCGCCGGUCACAGGGGCAGGGAUCCCCAAAGCGCCCACAGGACUCCCGAAAGGUGUCCGUGUGGCUCGCUGGUAUCGCCCUGCCCGCUCACCUCAGGUUUCUGGAGCCACAUUUCGUUCCUCAUCUGCCGUGUGCGAGUAUGAAAUACACCGAACUUUCACUCGGACUUGUGCAAAAUACCUUUCGCUUAUUUUGUAACGAGCUAGAGGUUGGACAUUGAAUGUCGUUUGAAGAACGCCCAGACGUUUCUCCCGGAGUGACGGCAGAGUUCAUCUUUCUUCAACGCUUUCUACACCGCAAGUGGGGUUUUUUACCCUCCUGGGGUCUACAAUGACGGGAUGAUCAAGCGUGCUGGGCUCCUGUUUUAUGAUUUAAGCUCCAUGAGCGGAUGCCUUGCCCAGGCAGCCCUGGGAUGGAGAGUUCCCGUGUUGUUCCCGUUUUCCCGGUGGGAAGCAGCCUGCAGGUGGCACCGGCGUCUCACGGUGGCGUCGCUCCCCACCCCGAGGUGACCACGGCUGGAAAUUGAACUCGUUUCUGUCACUUUUUUUGGGGGCAAAACGGAGCGCCUUCCCCUCAGCCUUAAAUUUCCUAAUUACGCUGAAACUUACAACCUCACGUCGUGAAUACAAACGGCGCUAAUUUGUUUUAAUUGCUUUAAAGGGGGAGGACGAAUCAGCUUGUACAGAAGCGCAAGAAGCGCUGAUGCCGUCUGGCUGAAGCAGGGAGUUGAGAUGGGUUCUGUGUCAUUCCAGACAAUGACUUUUCCCUUUUAUUAACUUCCACUCCCUUCCUCCCCGCAGGGUCACAUGUGGUGCAGCAACCACAGCAGCUGCACAUGCAGAUCCUUGGAGAGUUUCUCCCAAGUUCUUCAAAUCCUGUGACCUCCUUUUUGUCACCUUAGGACUGAGUCACAUGUCACGCGUCUCCGUCGGCUCCAGUUGUUUGGCUUUGUUUUGUUUUUUUUUUUGGUCUGGCCCUGGUGGGACAACACAUCUGAGCUCUGUUGCACCUCCUGGAGAUGAGGACUGCCCAAAGUGGCUGCUUUCAGAAAAAUUGGGUAACUCUUGGGAGGCUUUUUCCUGACGAAGGGACUUGCUAAGGCUCCUGGCUCCGCGGUCUUUCCCCAGCUGCCCUCUCGGUUACUCUGGUUUACUGACAUGUUUUUUUUCCCCCUCUUUUUAUAACGGGCUCUCCCCUUGGUGUCCUGUGCCAGGAGUCCUGCAGGCAGAGAAAAACUGGAUAAACAGAAAUGCUGGAAAUAAUUCUGUGUAAAUCAUUUGAAGAUGUAGCAUGAUUAAAGUGGGAGAUACUUAAAUAAAGACUCACACAGUGCUGGCCCCAUCCCUGCCCCUACAAUGUAUUUAAAGAUCUGCAGCAGGAGAGCAGGAUGGAUCAAGAGGCACCUCCAGAGGGGAAGGCUCACAAGAUGCUCCCAAGACUGACAAUAAAAGCAGGACAGAGGAGAGGUGAGUGCCUGCCUGUUCCCACCCAGGGAUGGUGGCUAGGAACAGGCUGGCAGCCAGCUUCAUGGGGGGACAGAUGCCAAGGCAGCUGCUGGUCCUGCUCCCUGACCCCUCUGGCUGGCAGCAGCUUGUCUUUUGGGAUGUUUUCUGCAGAAUUCAGCUUCCUCCAGGGUCAACCUCCAGAGGGUGUGAAUGGUGCCUGGGGGAGUGAUGGGGAGCAGAAGUUUCCCUUGCUCCUAGGUGUGUGCCCAGCUCACAGCAGGAUCCUGCUGUGCAAGAGCAGAGGUUUGUCCCGGUGGCUCCAGGACACAGCGACUGGUGUGGUGGAGAAGAUCUCCUGGAUGUCCCAUUUCAAGCGCCUCUAAGAAAAUGUUUCCUUCGGUUUUCCUAUCUUGCUUUUGAUUUUUUUUUUCUUGUAUCCCUUUCAAAUCUUCCCCCGAGAUGACUGAAACUCAACACCCCACGUUGCAGGGCAUCGUCCUCUCCCGUGCCGACCUGGGCCAGCUGCUUAUAAAAGAGAGGGCGAGAACCGGAACGUUUCCCUUCCCCAAAACAUCUGAGGUCCUUACUCCUCCGUGGAUGAAGCGCCGCUGGAAAACCAACACGGCACAAACCAGGGGUGAGUGUCACCCCUCCUGGCGGUGACCAACCCACACCCUCCUGCUCUGAGACCUCCUCCAGAUGCUGGGGCUCAUUAAUUUAUUGCUUCAACACAUUUUACUGUGUUUUGUAACUGUAAACCCUAAGGUGACUCUGUUCUAAUUCUAAAAAUCACGAAUCUUUCUUUAUAAUGGAUGUAGUUUUGUGUACUGAGCCAUCGCACACCCCCCCAGUUCCUGUCUCCAGUGAGCAUCUCCAGGAAGUCACACAAGUCCACCUGGUGUUUUGCCUUUAUUUCUAAACACAUCCAAGCUGGAAUACAUAGGCAAGCGCUGGGCGGGUCAUUGGAACACCAUCCCUCUGGUUCCUGUUCAAACCCAGACCAUUCUGCCUUGCCAGAACCUCGAAAAAUGAGUAUAAUGAGUAAGUUACGAGUUGAAAUAAUGCACUGCCUGAGUCUUCUUAAUGUUUAAGAAGAUGUUAUUUCAUGGCUGCUCCACAAAGAGCGUUGCAUGGUGUUUUCUGCAGGACACAGUGGGACUGGCUGGCUUGGCCAUGGAGGAGAGCAGGUGCUGGGGUGGCUGUUGGGCCAUACAGGAUCACAUGCAUUUAGUGACUACCUAAAAAUCCUCACCCUGUUCAAAAAGGGGGUGUGUGAAGUAGCCCUGUGGU